rnacentral:rRNA from 1 species
UAGGGAAUCUUCGGCAAUGGACGGAAGUCUGACCGAGCAACGCCGCGUGAGUGAAGAAGGUUUUCGGAUCGUAAAGCUCUGUUGUAAGAGAAGAACGAGUGUGAGAGUGGAAAGUUCACACUGUGACGGUAUCUUACCAGAAAGGGACGGCUAACUAUGUGCCAGCAGCCGCGGUAAUACGUAGGUCCCGAGCGUUGUCCGGAUUUAUUGGGCGUAAAGCGAGCGCAGGCGGUUAGAUAAGUCUGAAGUUAAAGGCUGUGGCUUAACCAUAGUACGCUUUGGAAACUGUUUAACUUGAGUGCAAGAGGGGAGAGUGGAAUUCCAUGUGUAGCGGUGAAAUGCGUAGAUAUAUGGAGGAACACCGGUGGCGAAAGCGGCUCUCUGGCUUGUAACUGACGCUGAGGCUCGAAAGCGUGGGGAGCAAACAGGAUUAGAUACCCUGGUAGUCCACGCCGUAAACGAUGAGUGCUAGGUGUUAGACCCUUUCCGGGGUUUAGUGCCGCAGCUAACGCAUUAAGCACUCCGCCUGGGGAGUACGACCGCAAGGUUG